rnacentral:lncRNA from 1 species
AUUCAAGGCUGACUCGCUGAUUUGCCUCUCUGAAUUAGAAGCAGCCGCGCAGAAGGUAUCAUCUGCUCAAAUAUUUUCCCACCUGAAUGUCUUGAUGUUUCCAGUCUCUCAACUCCUCUGAAGCAUGACGUGAUUCUGGGAGUGGCCAACAGGGCCAGGGCUCGCGCUGAGAACUUCCACACAAAGACAGAACAAAACAGACAAAACAAACAGAACAAAGCAAUUGGUAAUGUUGUUUGAGAGUCAUUUCUUAACCAUCUCAAAUGAUAGACUGGACUAUAUUUUUUGUUUGAUCAAAAAUCUUGAACUGUAGUCAGAUCUUCAUAAUAUAUGAUGUGCAUACUUGAGCCAA